rnacentral:lncRNA from 1 species
AGUGGAAAAGAAAUUUUUAGAAAUUCCUGGAAAAGAUAAAGAGGAUAGAAUGGAGUUGCUGGGAAAACCAAUCACAGCUGAGACCUAUUACCCAGAUUCACUCAAAAGAAGGUAUAGAGUCGCUAAACAGGGGUUUUGCAACAAAAGUCAGGAACUAUCCAAAGUUCAGAGGUGGUAGCUAGUGGCUGGGAACAGAAGCCAGAGCAGACAGCAAUUUCGGGACAUUGCAGAGCUGUAGUAGAUCUGUACUGGUCUGCAGACAGACAAUAAUUUGCACUAAGACCAGGAAGACGUUCUGUGAGGAAGACAUAGGUGGAAAUACGGAAAGCAGAAAAGACAACUUCGGGGUGGCCGGGAGAUAACAGAAGUUACUAAAUCCAUGGCUCAGCAAUGAACUUCCUACUCCCAGCAACUCUAAGAGGCUGCUCCUGAGGUGUCUCCCAGCCCAUGAGCUCUGAUGCAGUGCAUUCCUGCCAGGAACUUCAUUUCAGCCUCAGGUGCAGGUGCAGGUACCACAACUUACAUCUCUUUACAUGACCAGCUCUACAGAGUCCACAGUAAUGGCACUGUCAUUUUAUAAUGACAAUUGGCACAAAUCAGUUAGUCUACACUGGACAAAUAUAAGGAAAAAUAUAGCACUUAUUUUUCCUAUUUUUCAUAUUAUCAAGCAACAGUCAUAAAGCAGUCAAUUAAGUUAAUUGAAUUGGAAUAAGGAGAAAAUUGUUUAUAAUUACCUAGAAACUCACCUUCUAUAUUUCACAAGGAAGAGAACGCAAUUCAGAGAGUCUCAACAGUUUAUGGCAUGCAUGUUACAAAAGUGUAUCUCUUCUAUGUACAUUUCAUGAGUUAUAGUUCAUUUACAUUGGCUCACAUAAACAUUCAAGUCUCUAAAAUUGAGUAGUGUGAACAGUGCCCAGGUUAAAAGUAAGACUGGAAAGAAUUUGCUAAUAUAUACAACUAUAAUAAUUUGCGAGGCUGUAAUGAGCUGUGGGUUAGCCCGUCAUUUAUUCCUGCAUCUCACCAUGAUCCUUUCCUGCAGCUGUUCUGCAAACAUCCAUUCCUUCCCUUCCCUGGGACAGAUCUCAGCGACGAAAACUCUAAGUCUCUAAUUUAUUGAAUGUUCACUCUAUGCUAGGCCCUGAAGGAAGGGUGCCACACACAGUGCCUCUUUUAAAAUCACCAAUAACCUGGGAAAGAAGGUAAUCUUAUUAUCCCUGUUUUAUGAAAAUUAAAGCUCAGAUAUGUCAAAUAAUUUGUUCAGAGUUACAUAGCUUAAGUUCCCAAAGCAGGAUUAAACUGUGGGGCUUAAACUGUAGGAUACAGAAUUAAACUGUAGGAUACGAGAACUUGAGAUUUUUGUUAUAUUCUCCACAUGCCUAAGUAUUAAUCCUGAUAGGAGAGCAGGAUCAGGCAGGGGCUGGUAGUGUCAGCCUGACAAUAUUAAACAGCUUCCCAAGGGGCCCCCUGAGGCAGAAAAUCUUAUAUGUCUCCCCUCUCUCGGGAAAAAAAAAAAAAGUCUGAUUUUAUUUGAGAUAGGAAUGUACCUAGCUAAAUAUUUUUCUUAUCAUCCCUUCCAGCUAGAGUUGGCUAUGUGACACAUGACUAAUAAUAUUUAAAUAAAAGGCUGAAAGAAAUUCUGGGAAAGGCUAUGUUUACCUAAUAAAUGGGGACGAGUUGGACCAGAAUAUUCCCUCCUUUAUUCCUUUCUCAAAUGUAGACAAGAAGCUGGUAGAACUGCAGGCGCCAUCUUAAAGCCAUAAGGCAAAUCACAGAGAUCUUGGCAGUGAAUUUGAACUGCUGAACCCACAGCAGACCGCCUACCCUCAGACAUCUUAUCACAGAAAGAAAAUAUAGGCAUACCUUGGAGUUAUCACACGUUCCCUUCCAAACCACUGCAAUAGACUGAGUAUUGCAAUACAGCCAGUUACACAUUUUUUGGAUUCCUAGUACCUAUAAAAGUUACAUUUACAGUAUACUGUAGUCUACUAAGUGUGCAAUAGCAUUACGUCUAAAU